rnacentral:lncRNA from 1 species
UGGUCUGGGGCUGGUCAGGGCGCCAGCGGACACCAGCAUCUCCCACGAGGGUGCUGGGGCCUGGGGCGGGUGGAGCUCAGGCCUGAAACCGUGGCUGGGGGAGCUGGUUCUGGGGCCCCCACUGGCCUGCAAAGCCUCAAGUGAAGCUGGUGAGGUGGUCUGGCCCUCGGCACCCAGGAGAGACCCUUCUGGAGGCGGAGUGGGCAGAGCCUGCAGCCCCAGGGCUGUUCAGUGCCUAGUAGCCAGUCUGUGCGAUGGCACAGAGGCACAAGCCAGCUCUGUGAGGCCUCAAGCAGCCCCAGAGGAGGAACUGAAAGGGGGCCAGGCGCGCCGAGAGAGUCCAGAGGGGGAGGAGAUAUUGUCCUCUGGAGGUGAGUGUGCAUCAGGGAAGGAUUCCUGGAGGAAGUGGCUCUGAUGUGAGGGCUGGAGGGUUAGAUGCCUUUCAACUCCCCGCGGCCUUUGUCUUCCCAAAAGACCGUCGUGGUCUCACCUCCUUUAUUUUUGCAUCAAAGCAUAACCACCCCCAGCUGGGCUGCAUUAGAGUCUCCCGGCUCACAGACAUCCUGCUCCAGAGACAGGCGCGGCUUCCCCCCGCCAGGUGGGGUGCUAAGACACUGCGGUCAGCCCCGUGGGGUCCAGACCUGGGGACAGAUCGUGGGAGGCCGUUGUCCCUUAGAGGGGUGCAGGGCCCAGCAGUCACACCUGGCUCGGUCUGUAGAUACUUGAUCGAAUAACAAUUGUUACCAAAACAGCUAUGUGUUUCUAGGGUACCCACCAUGCCCUAGGCCGGGGCCACCUGCUUUCUGCAGUGAUCCCGGGUCCUCGCUAGUUUGGGGAGUCCUCACGGCCGAAUCUCACAAAUGAAGAAGAGGCUCGACACGAUCGAGUGACUUGCUGAAGGUGCCAGCCCCCCUGAGUGGCGGUGUCGGGACUUGGUCCAGGCCUCCGGUGACAAAUGCCACCUUUGGAGCAGGCGCUGAAGUCCCUCUCUCCUGGGUGGAACCUUCUCUCGCACUAUGAACUCUCGUCCCCGGGGCCUCGGUUUCCCCAUUGGUCAAGGGAGGGACCGCCUGUUUGCUCCCAGGCUCCCUGCCAGCACCCAUGUGCCCCUUGCACCCCAGCGGUCCCUGCAUGUGCCCAUGAGCCAGAGCCCAGUCCCUGCCCGGCCCAGCUGCGUCCCCUCCCCUCCCGGCACCCAGCCUGGAGCCCCACCCAGGGCUGUGCUCCCUUUGGAGGGAAAUGGUCCUCUUGGGCUCCCCUGGGAAGCAGCCCUGGGGUGAGGAAGGCUUCCUGCUCCGUUCCCUCUUCCAACCCCGACACGCCCGCCGGGAGCUGUGGGUGGCGGAUGGAAGCCGGCAAGUUGUGUGAACUAGGGCGCGAUUCCUUUUUAGCAGACGUCACACGAAACAGCUUGAGGCCCCCUUGGAAGGUGCACCAGGCUGCGAGUCAGGGAGGAAGCGGUCUCUCCAGGGUCCACGGAUGGUUCCAGAAACUUUUUCUUCCUGGGAACUUCUCUGAGCCGGUCAGUGUCGUGGGUGCAGAGACUCAGAGUGGACAGCAGAAAGGCCGUGCCCCGACCGCGGCGCCCGUGGAGGGAGAGAGGACGCUGUUUCCAUUCUGUGGGCCUUUCCACGUGCCCAGCCUGGCGUGAGCCCUUUGCAAAAGCGGCCACAUUCAGUCCCGUUGACAAGUGUCCAGGUGAGACCACAGCCCUCAUUUGC